rnacentral:sRNA from 1 species
GUUAAAAAAGUAUGACUCUAUAAAUUUUAGACCGUGAGGCCAAACUUGGCAUGUGAUACCUUUUCGGAAAGCCCAAAGAGAGCUCUCCGAUGAAUGAGGAAGCACAAUGGAAUUCUUCUAUUUGUUUUUUUGUACUCCAAAUUUUGACCUUAAUGUACUUUUUCAGGCCUUAUGUGAUCUUUGCUAUAUUACGAGGCAAAAAUUAUAUGUUCGGACAUUGUUUUUAAAUAUUUUGCGUUUAUCAAAGCUCAUAUAAACAAGAUAGGGUAUUCCUACAUAGCUGGUAGGACCCACGGAAAAUGGAUCAUAAAGUCUUCAAAAAAGAAUAAAUACGAUUGCAUUGCAUGUAGUAACGGAUGCGAUCAUACCAGCAUUAAUGCACGGGAUCCCAUCAGAACUCUGCAGUUAAGCGUGCUUGGGCGAGAGUUGUACUAGGAUGGGUGACCUCCAGGAAAGUCCUCGUGUUGCAUCCCUCUUUUUUUCUCGGUUUUUCUCUUUUUUGUUUUGUUAAAAGUAUAUGACUCUAUAACUUUUAGACCGUGAGGCCAAACUUGGCAUGUGAUACCUUUUCGGAAAGCCCAAAGAGAGCUCUCCAUUUAAUGAGGAAGGAAAAUGGAAUUCUUCUAUUGUUUUUUUUUCUAAUCCAAAUUUUGACCUUAAUGUACUUUUUCGUGCCUUUUCGUGAUCUUUGCUAUAUUACGGGGCAAAAAUUAUG